UGGUGCAUGGUUGUCGUCAGCUCGUGUCGUGAGAUGUUGGGUUAAGUCCCGCAACGAGCGCAACCCUUGCCUUUAGUUGCCAGCAUUAAGUUGGGCACUCUAGAGGGACUGCCAGGGAUAACCUGGAGGAAGGUGGGGAUGACGUCAAAUCAUCAUGCCCCUUAUGCUUAGGGCUACACACGUGCUACAAUGGGUGGUACAGAGGGCAGCCAAGUCGUGAGGCGGAGCUAAUCCCUUAAAGCCAUUCUCAGUUCGGAUUGUAGGCUGAAACUCGCCUACAUGAAGCUGGAGUUACUAGUAAUCGCAGAUCAGAAUGCUGCGGUGAAUGCGUUCCCGGGUCUU
rnacentral:rRNA from 1 species